GACGAACGCUGGCGGCGUGCUUAACACAUGCAAGUCGAACGGAAAGGCCCUGCUUUUGUGGGGUGCUCGAGUGGCGAACGGGUGAGUAACAGGUGAGUAACCUGCCCUUGACUUUGGGAUAACUUCAGGAAACGGGGGCUACUACCGUAUAGGAGCUCCUGCUGCAUGGUGGGGGUUGGAAAGUUUCGGCGGUUGGGGAUGGAUUGGCGGCUUAUGAGCUUGUUGGUGGGGUAGUGGCUUACCAACGGUGUGACGGGUAGCCGGCCUGAGAGGGUGAACGGGGUCCAGGGGACUGAGGGACGGACCAGACUGGAACAGGGGACAGUGGGGGCGAACAUUGCCCAGUGGGAGGAAGUGGGAUGAAGAGGCGUUCGGGUCGGGAAGACGGUCUGUGGGGUAUAAACAGCUUCAGCUUGAUACGCAGCGUGUGUGACGGUACUCAGUGAAGAAGCACCGGCUAACUACGUG
rnacentral:rRNA from 1 species